rnacentral:rRNA from 1 species
GACGAACGCUGGCGGCGUGCUUAACACAUGCAAGUCGAGCGGUAAGGCCCUUUCGGGGGUACACGAGCGGCGAACGGGUGAGUAACACGUGGGUGACCUGCCCUCAGCUCUGGGAUAAGCCUGGGAAACCGGGUCUAAUACUGGAUAUGACUCCAUGACGCAUGUUGUGGGGUGGAAAGCCUUGUGCGGCUGAGGAUGGGCCCGCGGCCUAUCAGCUUGUUGGUGGGGGAUGGCCUACCAAGGCGACGACGGGUAGCCGGCCUGAGAGGGCGACCGGCCACACUGGGACUGAGACACGGCCCAGACUCCUACGGGAGGCAGCAGUGGGGAAUCUUGCGCAAUGGGCGAAAGCCUGACGCAGCGACGCCGCGUGAGGGAUGAC